rnacentral:rRNA from 1 species
AAGGCAGCCUGCCAGUGACCAAGUUAAACGGCCGCGGUACCCUAACCGUGCAAAGGUAGCGCAAUCACUUGUUCUUUAAAUGAGGACUAGUAUGAACGGCAUCACGAGGGUUAUGCUGUCUCCCCACUCUAUUCAGUGAAACUGAUCUCCCCGUGAAGAAGCGGGGAUAAAAAUAUAAGACGAGAAGACCCCAUGGAGCUUUAAACUCAGUAUCAACUGCUUUACAAAUUAACCUAACAUUUAUGCAACUCUGAUUACUAGUUUUCGGUUGGGGUGACCACGGAGUAUAAAACAACCUCCACGACGAAAGGAAGUAACAACCUAAAUCAAGAGUUACAACUCUAAAUAUCAACAAAUUGACUAAAUUGAUCCAAUAAAUUGAUCAACGAACCAAGUUACCCUGGGGAUAACAGCGCAAUCCAUUUCAAGAGCUCAUAUCGACAAAUGGGUUUACGACCUCGAUGUUGGAUCAGGGUACCCCAGUGGCGCAGCCGCUACUAACGGUUCGUUUGUUCAACGAUUAAAACCCUACGUGAUCUGAGUUCAAGACCGGA